UCAAAGCCGUCAUCUAACGCAGUAGCUUCAAAGACCAAAGCACCAUUACCCGGUUUGCUAAUUUCAAUGGUACAGGGUUGGAAUCUUCCAAGAUCCUCAUUAGGAAACUCAUCUUCAGCAGACUCUCCCUGAUUUUGAAGUUCUUGCUCGUCUUCAAAUUCAGUAAAAUCUUGCUCCUCAGGAACGGCGUCAGUUACAUCUUGAGAAACAUUCAUCGUAAUUCGUAUACUAAAGUAGUUAGAUUGAAAACGUUAAAAAAUAAUUUAAUUAGAAUUUAGAAGGCCCAC